rnacentral:tRNA from 1 species
UCUAAUGUGGCAGAAUAGUGCAAUGAAUUUAAGCUUCAUAUAUAAAGUACUUAACUUUUUUUAGAA